UGGCCAGUGAUGGUCGUUGAGUUGUACUGACACUCCUCCUUGAGCAAAUGAAGUGCAAACUAAAAUUCUGAGGCCU